UCGCUUUGGCAGCAUAUAUACUAAAAUUGGAAUCAUACAAAGAAGAUUAACAUGGCCCCUGUGCAAGAGGAUGUAACUAAACACAUUGAUGAAGGUAGAGUAGUA